UACGAAAGGGGCUAGCGUUGCUCGGAUUCAUUGGGCGUAAAGGGUGCGUAGGUGGCGCUGUAAGUCAGGUGUGAAAUUUCGGAGCUUAACUCCGAAACUGCAUUUGAUACUGCGGUGCGUUGAGGACUGGAGAGGAGACUGGAAUUUACGGUGUAGCAGUGAAAUGCGUAGAGAUCGUAAGGAAGACCAGUGGCGAAGGCGGGUCUCUGGACAGUUCCUGACACUGAGGCACGAAGGCCAGGGGAGCAAACGGG
rnacentral:rRNA from 1 species